rnacentral:rRNA from 1 species
UCCUCAGUUCGGACUGGGGUCUGCAACCCGACCCCACGAAGCUGGAUUCGCUAGUAAUCGCGCAUCAGCCAUGGCGCGGUGAAUACGUUCCCGGGCCUUGUACACACCGCCCGUCAAGCCAUGAAAGCCGGGGGCGCCUGAAGUCCGUGACCGCGAGGGUCGGCCUAGGGUGAAACCGGUGAUUGGGCUAAGUCGUAACAAGGUAAC